CCUACGGGCGGCAGCAGUGGGGAAUAUUGGACAAUGGGGGGAACCCUGAUCCAGCCAUGCCGCGUGUGUGAAGAAGGCCCUCGGGUUGUAAAGCACUUUCAGUGAGGAAGAACGCCUGGUGGUUAAUACCCAUCAGGAAAGACAUCACUCACAGAAGAAGCACCGGCUAACUCCGUGCCAGCAGCCGCGGUAAUACGGAGGGUGCGAGCGUUAAUCGGAAUUACUGGGCGUAAAGCGCGCGUAGGUGGCUUGAUAAGCCGGUUGUGAAAGCCCCGGGCUCAACCUGGGAACGGCAUCCGGAACUGUCAAGCUAGGGUGCAGGAGAGGAAGGUAGAAUUCCCGGUGUAGCGGUGAAAUGCGUAGAGAUCGGGAGGAAUACCAGUGGCGAAGGCGGCCUUCUGGACUGACACUGACACUGAGGUGCGAAAGCGUGGGUAGCAAACAGGAUUAGAUACCCGAGUAGUC
rnacentral:rRNA from 1 species